CACAAUAAACAUAUGAAGGCUGCACCGCCAAGCAGGCGGCAGGCUGGAGUAUUUAUUACCCUUGUCUUUUGCGCACUUGUUGUUUCCUGGGCGGGUUCGCCCGCCUCCAGGACCACAGGAUUAAACCUUUUUUAUGCAGUUGCAAUCAGCGUCAGUACAACAAAUGUAAAUCAUUUA
rnacentral:misc_RNA from 1 species